CCAUCCAUUUCACUCGCUCAAUCAAUCUUCUGAAACCCUAGCUAAUCAAUUUCAUCAAAUUCUCAAACCCUAGCUUUUCUUCAAUGGCUCGUACCAAGCAAACCGCUCGCAAAUCCACCGGCGGAAAGGCACCGAGGAAGCAAUUGGCCACCAAGGCCGCUCGGAAAUCUGCUCCGGCCACCGGAGGAGUGAAGAAGCCCCACAGGUUCAGGCCAGGAACCGUUGCUCUCCGUGAGAUCCGAAAGUACCAGAAGAGCACUGAGCUCUUGAUCCGAAAGCUCCCAUUCCAGCGCUUGGUUCGUGAAAUCGCUCAGGAUUUCAAGACCGAUCUCCGAUUCCAGAGCUCCGCCGUGGCUGCGCUACAAGAGGCCGCUGAAGCUUACCUUGUGGGACUCUUUGAGGACACAAAUCUCUGCGCUAUUCACGCUAAGAGAGUCACCAUCAUGCCUAAGGAUAUUCAGCUCGCUAGGAGGAUCAGGGGUGAGCGUGCUUAGAGUGAAGGAUUUUGUGUAGAUAAAGAAAUUUGGGCAGAUCUAUGUGUCAGGGUUUUUUUUUUUCUCUAUGUUAUGGUUUUUGCUUGUUUGUUAGGUUUAGAUUGUUUAUCUUUAAUCACUGUUUCACUAAUUGGUGUUUUGGUUAUUGUUAUCUCUGAUGGGUUGUGCAUUUUUAAAUAUGCUCUAAGUAAGGUUGCUGGAAACCCUAACCCUAAUUCUCCAACUCCAAUGGCUCGUACCAAGCAAACUGCUCGCAAAUCCACCGGCGGCAAGGCACCGAGGAAGCAAUUGGCCACCAAGGCUGCUCGGAAGUCCGCUCCGGCCACCGGAGGAGUGAAGAAGCCCCACAGGUUCAGGCCAGGGACCGUUGCUCUCCGUGAGAUCCGAAAGUACCAGAAGAGUACCGAGCUCCUGAUCCGAAAGCUCCCAUUCCAGCGCUUGGUUCGUGAAAUCGCUCAGGAUUUCAAGACCGAUCUCCGAUUCCAGAGCUCCGCCGUGGCUGCGCUACAAGAGGCCGCGGAGGCUUACCUUGUGGGACUCUUUGAGGACACCAAUCUCUGCGCUAUUCACGCUAAGAGAGUCACCAUCAUGCCUAAGGAUAUUCAGCUCGCUAGGAGGAUCAGGGGUGAGCGUGCUUAGAGUGAAGGAGUUCGUGUAGAUAAAAGAUUUUCGGUUGGAAUGGGGUGUCAGAUCUAUGUUAUGGUCUUGCUUUGUUUCUUAGGGUUUAGAUGGUAAUGUUUGAACGCAGUUGAGGCUGCAUUUGAAGCCAUGAAUGUUUUGUAGUGUAGUCAUUUGCACUAAUGGAAAUUAAUGGUUUCUGUUUAA